AUUGAACGCUGGCGGCAUGCUUUACACAUGCAAGUCGAACGGUAACAGGCCGCUAGCUCCUGGCGAGUGGGGCACGGGUGUGUAAUGCACCUGGAAGUGUCCCUUCUUGGGGGGUAACUACUCCGAAGAGUAGCUCAAAUCGCACACGCGCUAUGGGUGAGAGCGGGGGGCCGCUAGGCCCCUCGCGCUUUGAGCUGCCGAUGUCAGAUUAGGUAGUUGGUGGGGUAAAGGCUCACCAAGCCAACGAUCUGUAGCUGGUCUGAGAGGACGAGCAGCCACACUGGAACUGAGACACGGCCCAGACUCCUACGGGAGGCAGCAGUGGGGAAUUUUGGACAAUGGGCGCAAGCCUGAUCCAGCAAUGCCGCGUGCAGGAAGAAGGCCUUCGGGUUGUAAACUGCUUUUGUACGGAACGAAACGGCUCUGGUUAAUACCCGGGGCUAAUGACGGUACCGUAAGAAUAAGCACCGGCUAACUACGUG
rnacentral:rRNA from 1 species